AAUAUGACGUCACUUUUGAAUGGCAACCCGAUGGCGACGCUGGCUGUGGCCAUACAAUUCCUUCUUAUUUACGAGCUUUAUAUCAUCUGCAUUUAAAAAAGUGUGUGUUUUUAAGGGGGAAACAUAUGGAAGAGACACAACAUGGCAUCGACUACCACCAUUUUAUGUCGAGGAGAUGGACGAAGUGGAGCUGGACGAAGUGCCUCGGCUGGAGAAAGGGAAGUCUGGACUUCCCUGCUAAAGCUGCUGACCCGAAACGACCCC